ensembl:rRNA 5S_rRNA 5S ribosomal RNA
GUCUAUGGCCACAUCACCCUGCACGUCUCCAAUCUCAUCUGAUUUCAGAAGGUAAGCAGGGUCAGAACUGAUUAGUACUUGAAUUGAAGAACUAUUUUUGUUUUAUCCC